UGAAGUAGUACCUGGAUCGGCAACUCCUCGAUGUUUGUGACCACCGCUAGGUGGCAGUGGUGUCGAGCGCUAAGGACGCGGGGGAGCGGGUGCUAUUCAAAACAAUGGUCGGCGUCGCGUCGUAGGAUCGUUUGCCUUGUUUUUUGAAAAGUUAAGCCCCUUUGGAGCAGAUUGGAAGGUUUCAGAAGAUGGAGGAAGAUGGCAAGAUCAAAGAGAUGGGUUCAGUUUCCACGGUGUGCUGACUUGAAUUGGCAUCCUGUGAUUUGUGAUGUGAAUUAUGAUGCACGCACUCGCAGGUGCACGCCCACUGCGGACACGUGUGACGUGACGGCAGCAGGCAGCCGGGGUGUGAACUGUGAACUGGCUCGGCCGAAAAUGUUUAAGGUAUCACAGCGUUUGUAACUGACUAACAUACCCACUACGGGCAUACCCAUUGAGCGGAUAAUGCGUUCGUGUGCAUCGUGUUUGCAUUUAUUCCCGAUAUACUCUGGUGGUAGGUGUGAAUUGGAAGCCAGCUUGGUGCUACGACACCGUUUAGUAGGCAUGUGGCACGUCGUUUCUCGAAACCUACCUAUCAGUCUAUGCAAUAAUAUGCAUUGUAUA
rnacentral:lncRNA from 1 species